CGCGUAGGCGGUUUGUUUAGUUAGGCGUGAAAUUCCUGGGCUUAACCUGGGGACUGCGCUUAAUACAGGCAGACUUGAGUUCGGAAGAGGGUCGUGGAAUUCCCAGCGUAGAGGUGAAAUUCGUAGAUAUUGGGAAGAACACCGGUGGCGAAGGCGGCGACCUGGUCCGAUACUGACGCUGAGGCGCGAAAGCGUGGGGAGCAAACA
rnacentral:rRNA from 1 species